AUUGAACGCUGGCGGCAGGCCUAACACAUGCAAGUCGAACGAGUGGCGGACGGGUGAGUAAUGUCUGGGAAACUGCCCGAUGGAGGGGGAUAACUACUGGAAACGGUAGCUAAUACCGCAUACCAUCGGAUGUGCCCAGAUGGGAUUAGCUAGUAGGUGGGGUAACGGCUCACCUAGGCGACGAUCCCUGGCUGGGCUGAGGUGAUGACCAGCCAAACUGGAACGGGGACACGGGCCAGACUCCUACGGGGGGCAGCAGUGGGGAAUAUUGCACAAUGGGCGCAAGCCUGAUGCAGCCAUGCCGCGUGUAUGAGGAAGGCCUUCGGGUGGUAAAGUACUUUCAGCGAGGAGGCGUUACUCGCAGAAGAAGCACCGGCUAACUCCGUGCCAGCAGCCGCGGUAAUUC
rnacentral:rRNA from 1 species